GUUGACCUCGGAUCAGGUAGGAAUACCCGCUGAACUUAAGCAUAUCAAUAAGCGGAGGAAAAGAAACCAACAGGGAUUGCCCCAGUAACGGCGAGUGAAGCGGCAACAGCUCAGAUUUGAAAUCCGGCCUCGGCCCGAGUUGUAAUCUGUAGGGGAUGUCCCUGGCGCGGCGCCUACCGAGUUCCCUGGAACGGGACGCCAUAGAGGGUGAGAGCCCCGUAUGGUUGGACGCCUAGCCUCUGUGGGACUCCUCCGACGAGUCGAGUAGUUUGGGAAUGCUGCUCAAAUUGGGAGGUAAAUCUCUUCUAAAGCUAAAUAUAGGCCAGAGACCGAUAGCGCACAAGUAGAGUGAUCGAAAGAUGAAAAGCACCUUGGAAAGGGGGUUAAAAAGCACGUGAAAUUGUUGAAAGGGAAGCGCCCAUGACCAGACUCGCGCCUGGCGGAUCAUCCAGCGUUCUCGCUGGUGCACUCCGCCUGGUACGGGCCAGCAUCGGUUUCUGCGGGGGGAUAAGAGCAGCGGGGACGUGGCCCCUCCGGGGGUGUUAUAACCCGCUGCACGAUGCCCUCUCGGGGACCGAGGUUCGCGCUCUGCAAGGAUGCUGGCAUAAUGGUCAUCGGCGACCCGUCUUGAAACACGGACCAAGGAGUCGUCCAUUACGGCGAGCGUUUGGGUGUCAAACCCCUACGCGUAAUGAAAGUGAACGCAGGUGAGAGCUUCGGCGCAUCAUCGACCGAUCCUGAUGUAUUCGGAUGGAUUUGAGUAAGAGUCGUACCGGACGGACCCGAAAGAUGGUGAACUAUGCCUGAAUAGGGUGAAGCCAGAGGAAACUCUGGUGGAGGCUCGCAGCGGUUCUGACGUGCAAAUCGAUCGUCAAAUUUGGGCAUGGGGGCGAAAGACUAAUCGAACCAUCUAGUA
rnacentral:rRNA from 1 species